GAUGAAGAACGUAGCGAAAUGCGAUAAGUAAUGUGAAUUGCAGAAUUCAGUGAAUCAUCGAAUCUUUGAACGCACAUUGCGCCCGCCAGUAUUCUGGCGGGCAUGCCUGUUCGAGCGUCAUUUCAACCAUCAAGCCCCAGGCUUGUGUUGGAGCCCUGUGGCUGCCGCAGCCUCCCAAAACCAGUGGCGGGCUCGCUAUCACACCGAGUGCAGUAGUUUACUCUUCGCUCAGGGCGUGUGGCGGGUGCUAGCCGUAAAACCCCCAACUUCUCAAUGUUGACCUCGGAUCAGGUAGGAAUACCCGCUGAACUUAAGCAUAUCAAUAAGCGGAGGA
rnacentral:misc_RNA from 1 species